GUUCCUCGUUGUCGGUUGUUCUCGCUCUCCCUCUUCUUCCUUUUUGCCGAGAAGUGUAAUUGCACAUUAAAAUCCGCUCGCUCGCAGCUCGCAUCGAAUUCAAAAUUCUAAUUUGCGCGGCCACGUCGUAAUGCGGAAAA